AGGACUUCUAGGUUGGCGAUCCCCCAGUCGGUCGUCCCUGUGUUGGAGCUUUUAUUUCAUAGCUAGUUAUGAGUUAUAUUUUCCGUUUGUCGCAGACUUUGAUAUAUUUGUGUUGUAAUAACGUUAUGUAAGACACUUGUGAUGAUACAUUUGUAAUUUGUCGACUUGUGUGCGCGACUAUUCCUAGGGCGCACAUGAGAUUAUUGUACUCAAAUUUAUCCUUAAAUUUGGGUGUGACAAUAACCCCCUGCAGAAAUAGACAAACACCAAAACUCGUGGAAUUCUGUCAGAUAAAACCCUAAGUCUGGAUGUCGGUUGUAUUU
rnacentral:lncRNA from 1 species